GCGCGGGUGGCGAAAUUGGUAGACGCACUACCUUGAGGUGGUAGCGCCCACAAAGCGUGCUGGUUCGAGUCCAGUCCCGCGCACCA
rnacentral:tRNA from 2 species